rnacentral:rRNA from 1 species
GAUGAACGCUGGCGGCGUGCCUAAUACAUGCAAGUCGAGCGAACAGAUGAGGAGCUUGCUCCUCUGACGUUAGCGGCGGACGGGUGAGUAACACGUGGAUAACCUACCUAUAAGACUGGGAUAACUUCGGGAAACCGGAGCUAAUACCGGAUAAUAUAUUGAACCGCAUGGUUCAAUAGUGAAAGACGGUUUUGCUGUCACUUAUAGAUGGAUCCGCGCCGCAUUAGCUAGUUGGUAAGGUAACGGCUUACCAAGACAACGAUGCGUAGCCGACCUGAGAGGGUGAUCGGCCACACUGGAACUGAGACACGGUCCAGACUCCUACGGGAGGCAGCAGUAGGGAAUCUUCCGCAAUGGGCGAAAGCCUGACGGAGCAACGCCGCGUGAGUGAUGAAGGUCUUCGGAUCGUAAAACUCUGUUAUUAGGGAAGAACAAAAGUGUAAGUAACUAUGCACGUCUUGACGGUACCUAAUCAGAAAGCCACGGCUAACUACGUG